rnacentral:sRNA from 1 species
ACGCGAUUAUUUUAUUAUUUGCUAUAUGUAGAACCACUCAAGUUACCUUGUGAUUUGUUGUAAGUUGUUAUCCAUUCGUAAGUAAGACCCAAUAACUCCGCCUAAUUAAAGACAAACGCUACACGCGCGUAUUCGCGCAUUUUAAAAUGAUAUUUGAGGUCUAUACGACAUGUCUAAAGUUACAGGCACCGUUAAGUGGUUUAACGCUGAUAAAGGUUAUGGUUUUCUAACUCAAGAUAACGGCGGUAAGGACGUAUUCGUUCAUUUCCGUGCAAUUAUCUCUGACGGUUACAAGACUCUUCCAGAAGGUCAGCGCGUAGAAUUUGAAGUUGAAGAAGGUCAAAAAGGUCUUCAAGCUGCUAACGUGCAAGCCAUCUAAGAAAUUCAAAAACGGCGGUCAUUAGACCGCCGUUUUUCU